AGAACGAACGCUGGCGGCAGGCCUAACACAUGCAAGUCGAACGCCCUAGCAAUAGGGAGUGGCAGACGGGUGAGUAACGCGUGGGAACCUUCCCUAUAGUACGGAAUAUACCAGGGAAACUUGGAGCAAUACCGUAUACGCCCGAAAGGGGAAGAUUUAUCGCUAUAGGAUGGGCCCGCGUAGGAUUAGCUAGUUGGUGAGGUAAUGGCUCACCAAGGCGACGAUCCUUAGCUGGUCUGAGAGGAUGAUCAGCCACACUGGGACUGAGACACGGCCCAGACUCCUACGGGAGGCAGCAGUGGGGAAUAUUGGACAAUGGGCGCAAGCCUGAUCCAGCCAUGCCGCGUGAGUGAUGACGGCCUUAGGGUUGUAAAGCUCUUUCGACGGGGACGAUAAUGACGGUACCGUAGAAGAGCCCGGCUAACUUCGUGCCAGCAGCCGC
rnacentral:rRNA from 1 species